GAUGAACGCUGGCGGCGUGCCUAAUACAUGCAAGUCGAGCGAACAGACGAGGAGCUUGCUCCUCUGACGUUAGCGGCGGACGGGUGAGUAACACGUGGAUAACCUACCUAUAAGACUGGGAUAACUUCGGGAAACCGGAGCUAAUACCGGAUAAUAUAUUGAACCGCAUGGUUCAAUAGUGAAAGACGGUUUUGCUGUCACUGAUAGAUGGAUCCGCGCCGCAUUAGCUAGUUGGUAAGGUAACGGCUUACCAAGGCAACGAUGCGUAGCCGACCUGAGAGGGUGAUCGGCCACACUGGAACUGAGACACGGUCCCGACUCCUCCGGGAGGCAGCAGUAGGGAAUCUUCCGCAAUGGGCGAACGCUUGACGGAGCAACGCCGCGUGAGUGAUGAAGGUCUUCGGAUCGUAAAACUCUGUUAUUAGGGAAGAACAAAUGUGUAAGUAACUAUGCACGUCUUGACGGUACCUAAUCAGAAAGCCACGGCUAACUACGUG
rnacentral:rRNA from 1 species